rnacentral:rRNA from 1 species
UGCCUGCGCGUGCUAUACAUGCAGUCGAGCGGACCAGAGAUUCCGGAGCUUGCUCUGAGUUUGGUCAGCGGCGGACGGGUGAGUAACACGUGGGCAACCUGCCCGCAAGACCGGGAUAACUCCGGGAAACCGGAGCUAAUACCGGAUAACACCGAAGACCGCAUGGUCUUUGGUUGAAAGGCGGCCUUUGGCUGUCACUUGCGGAUGGGCCCGCGGCGCAUUAGCUAGUUGGUGAGGUAACGGCUCACCAAGGCGACGAUGCGUAGCCGGCCUGAGAGGGUGACCGGCCACACUGGGACUGAGACACGGCCCAGACUCCUACGGGAGGCAGCAGUAGGGAAUCUUCCGCAAUGGGCGAAAGCCUGACGGAGCGACGCCGCGUGAGCGAAGAAGGCCUUCGGGUCGUAAAGCUCUGUUGUGAGGGACGAAGGAGCGCCGUUCGAAGAGGGCGGCGCGGUGACGGUACCUCACGAGGAAGCCCCGGCUAACUACGUGCCAGCAGCCGCGGUAAUACGUAGGGGGCGAGCGUUGUCCGGAAUUAUUGGGCGUAAAGCGCGCGC